rnacentral:lncRNA from 1 species
CCAAAUCCCCACCACUCUCCACUCCUCAAAGGUCUCACCCUUUUUUCUCUUCCGGUGGAUUUAUCAGAAUUUUUAGCUGAUAAACCAUCCGACAUUGCUAGUAUAGACCAGUGUUUUAGUAUGGAGAAAUUUGUGAGACUCGUUUCCUUGGCUCCUCUGCUUCUGCUUCUCUGUUUUCCUCUGGCUCUGGCUGGUCAUGACUAUGGCGCAGCUCUCAGCAAGAGCAUUCUCUUCUUUGAAGCUCAGAGAUCUGGUGUCCUUCCCCAUAACCAAAGGGUCACUUGGAGAUCCCACUCCGGCUUAUACGAUGGCAAAGCCAGCGGGGUGAGUCAUUUGUGUUAUGUUUUUACUGUCAAAAUUUACAGUUCCCAGCCCUGAUACUUAUAGAUUGAUUUCGGUGGUGUAAUUUGGUCUGAACUUGUUUGAAUCUGUAGGUGAAUCUUGUUGGGGGCUACUAUGACGCAGGGGACAAUGUGAAAUUCGGGCUUCCGAUGGCGUUCACUGUUACAAUGAUGUCCUGGAGUAUAAUAGAGUAUGGAAAGCAAAUGGCUUCAAGCGGUGAACUUGGGCACGCCUUGGACGCUGUUAAGUGGGGAACUGACUACUUCAUUAAGGCUCACCCAGAAC